UACACAUGCAAGUCGAGCGGGGAAAAGUAGCUUGCUACUUAACCUAGCGGCGGACGGGUGAGUAAUGCUUAGGAAUCUGCCUAUUAGUGGGGGACAACAUCUCGAAAGGGAUGCUAAUACCGCAUACGUCCUACGGGAGAAAGCAGGGGACCUUCGGGCCUUGCGCUAAUAGAUGAGCCUAAGUCGGAUUAGCUAGUUGGUGGGGUAAAGGCCUACCAAGGCGACGAUCUGUAGCGGGUCUGAGAGGAUGAUCCGCCACACUGGGACUGAGACACGGCCCAGACUCCUACGGGAGGCAGCAGUGGGGAAUAUUGGACAAUGGGGGGAACCCUGAUCCAGCCAUGCCGCGUGUGUGAAGAAGGCCUUUUGGUUGUAAAGCACUUUAAGCGAGGAGGAGGCUACCGAGAUUAAUACUCUUGGAUAGUGGACGUUACUCGCAGAAUAAGCACCGGCUAACUCUGUGCCAGCAGCCGCGGUAAUACAGAGGGUGCAAGCGUUAAUCGGAUUUACUGGGCGUAAAGCGCGCGUAGGUGGCCAAUUAAGUCAAAUGUGAAAUCCCCGAGCUUAACUUGGGAAUUGCAUUCGAUACUGGUUGGCUAGAGUAUGGGAGAGGAUGGUAGAAUUCCAGGUGUAGCGGUGAAAUGCGUAGAGAUCUGGAGGAAUACCGAUGGCGAAGGCAGCCAUCUGGCCUAAUACUGACACUGAGGUGCGAAAGCAUGGGGAGCAAACAGGAUUAGAUACCCUGGUAGUCCAUGCCGUANACGAUGUCUACUAGCCGUUGGGGCCUUUGAGGCUUUAGUGGCGCAGCUAACGCGAUAAGUAGACCGCCUGGGG
rnacentral:rRNA from 1 species